AGCGAACGCUGGCGGCAGGCCUAACACAUGCAAGUCGAACGAACCUUUCGGGGUUAGUGGCGGACGGGUGAGUAGCACGUGGGAACGUGCCUUUAGGUUCGGAAUAACUCAGGGAAACUUGUGCUAAUACCGAAUGUGCCCUUCGGGGGAAAGAUUUAUCGCCUUUAGAGCGGCCCGCGUCUGAUUAGCUAGUUGGUUGAGGUAAUGGCUCACCAAGGCGACGAUCAGUAGCUGGUCUGAGAGGAUGAUCAGCCACAUUGGGACUGAGACACGGCCCAAACUCCUACGGGAGGCAGCAGUGGGGAAUCUUGCGCAAUGGGCGAAAGCCUGACGCAGCCAUGCCGCGUGAAUGAUGAAGGUCUUAGGAUUGUAAAAUUCUUUCACCGGGGACGAUAAUGACGGUACCCGGAGAAGAAGCCCCGGCUAACUUCGU
rnacentral:rRNA from 1 species